rnacentral:rRNA from 1 species
GACGAAGGAUGCAAGCGUUAUCCGGAUUCAUUGGGUUUAAAGGGAGCGUAGGUGGCCUUAUAAGUCAGUGGUGAAAUCUCUGGGCUUAACCCAGAAAUUGCCAUUGAUACUGUAGGGCUUGAGUAUAGUUGCCGUUGGCGGAAUAUGACAUGUAGUGGUGAAAUACAUAGAGAUGUCAUAGAACACCGAUUGCGAAGGCAGCUGACGAAACUAUAACUGACACUGAGGCUCGAAAAGUGCGGGGAUCAAACCAGG